rnacentral:rRNA from 1 species
UACGAAGGGGGCUAGCGUUGCUCGGAAUCACUGGGCGUAAAGGGUGCGUAGGCGGGUUUCUAAGUCAGAGGUGAAAGCCUGGAGCUCAACUCCAGAACUGCCUUUGAUACUGGAAGUCUUGAGUUCGGGAGAGGUGAGUGGAACUGCGAGUGUAGAGGUGAAAUUCGUAGAUAUUCGGAGGAACACCAGUGGCGAAGGCGGCUCACUGGUCCGGUACUGACGCUGAGGUGCGAAAGCGUGGGGAGCAAACAGG